rnacentral:snRNA from 11 species
AAAACUACCAGCAGAGCAGAUACUAUGAUCAUGAAGGUAGUUUUCCCAGGCAAGGCACAUCUAAUAGCAAGCUGACUUCUGCGAUGUCCCAAAUGUGGGAAGCUUGGCUGCUUAGUUUGUCAUAGUGGAAGACUGGGUUUCNAGUCUCCCC